CCAAAUGGCGGAUGACGCCGGUGCAGCGGGAGGGCCCAGAGGCCCCGGGGGCCCUGGAAUGGGAGGCCGCGGCGGCUUCUGUGGAGGCUUCGGCAGGGCAUUCGUGGCCGUGGUCGGGGCCAGGGCCUAGGUCGCGGAGCUCGCGGAGGCAAGGCCGAGGACAAGGAGUGGAUGCCCGUGACCAAGCUGGGCCGCCUGGUUAAGGACAUGAAGAUCAAAUCCCUGGAGGAGAUCUAUCUGUUCUCCUUGCCUAUCAAGGAGUCUGAGAUCAUUGAUUUUUUUCCUGGGAGCAUCUCUCAAAGAUGAGGUUUUGAAGAUCAUGCCAGUGCAAAAGCAGACCCGCGCUGGCCAGCGGACCAGGUUCAAGGCGUUUGUUGCUAUUGGGGACUACAAUGGCCACGUUGGUCUAGGUGUUAAGUGCUCCAAGGAGGUAGCCACUGCCAUCCGAGGGGCCAUCAUCCUGGCCAAGCUCUCCAUAGUCCCCGUGCGGAGAGGCUACUGGGGGAACAAGAUCGGCAAGCCCCACACUGUUCCUUGCAAGGUGACAGGCCGCUGUGGCUCUGUGCUGGUGCGUCUCAUCCCUGCCCCUAGAGGAACUGGCAUUGUCUCGGCCCCUGUGCCCAAGAAGCUGCUGAUGAUGGCUGGUAUCGAUGACUGCUACACUUCAGCCAGGGGUUGCGCUGCCACCCUGGGCAACUUCGCAAAGGCCACCUUCGAUGCCAUCUCCAAGACCUAUAGCUAUCUGACUCCUGACCUUUGGAAAGAGACAGUAUUCACCAAGUCUCCCUACCAGGAAUUCACUGACCAUCUUGUCAAGACCCACACCAGAGUCUCUGUGCAGAGGACCCAGGCUCCAGCUGUGGCUACCACAUAGCAUUUUUAUAUGAGAAAAAUAAAGUGAAAUUAAG